CUCCUACGGGAGGCAGCAGUGGGGAAUAUUGGGCAAUGGGCGCAAGCCUGACCCAGCAACGCCGCGUGAAGGAAGAAGGCUUUCGGGUUGUAAACUUCUUUUAUCAGGGACGAAGCAAGUGAUGGUACCUGAUGAAUAAGCCACGGCUAACUACGUGCCAGCAGCCGCGGUAAUACGUAGGUGGCGAGCGUUAUCCGGAUUUACUGGGUGUAAAGGGCGUGUAGGCGGGAAUGCAAGUCAGGUGUGAAAACCCGGGGCUCAACUCCGGGAGUGCAUUUGAAACUGUCCAGCUAGAGUGCAGGAGA
rnacentral:rRNA from 1 species